GGGUAAUUAAAUUAUACAGUAAAGCAUACUCACACGUAGACACAUACAAUCUUAUUGACUAAGUCAUACACAGGCACACACAGACAAGCUUACUUGUGCACACACACAAAUUUAGUACAGACAAACUGUUAUACACACAAGCUUACUACAGACAAGCUCACUGAAGCGAACACACUCUCCCUACAGACACGCCCAUUGACACACACACUCCCUAAAGAAGAGCUCACUAACACACAGAUUCACUACAGACAAGCUCACUGACACACACAUCUUAACUAGAUACAAGCUCAAUGACACACACAUGGUCACUACAG